rnacentral:misc_RNA from 1 species
GUGAAUCAUCGAAUUUUUGAACGCAAAUUGCACUCUCUUCUAGGAGUAUGCCUGUUUGAGUGUCAGCUUAAAAAAAUCUACGUAGUCGCUGUUUCGCGGUGACAUUCGUCGGAAAUUGGGUCAUCUUAAACCUUUGGGUUGUUUAAGCGACUUAAAAUUUUCUUUACGAUUCUACGAACGUUUCUAAGAUUUUUCUGCUUACACACGUUUAAGGAUACGA